AUGUACUGUUUGUUUUUCUGCAGUGGGGUCAGAGAAGAGGCAGAUGGAAGUCUGACCUACUGCCUGAUGGGUAAUGGACUGACUAUCAUGGCAGAUGAAGAGUAUCUGACCAUCAGCUCCACCCUGGAGCCUCCUCACAACCUCCCCUCCAGUCAGACCACUCACACGGCAACAGCCACCCUCCGCUCUCAUACCUCUCUCACCUCUCAGAAUCCGAACCUCGGCCCUCACAUCCCCACCACCAGCACCGUCUCGCCCCUCGGCCUCUCCUCUGACACCCCGACCACUUGCUCCCUGGCCCAUCCAGUUCAGCCUCUCACAACCCAGCCUCCAAAAGCCAAGCACCACCCAAUCCAGCAGGGGCUCCUUCCAAGUCAUUACAAAGUGAUGUCCAAGAAUGGCAGGCCUGUGGUGCCUCCACCCCAGCCUCCUACUCCACCAGUGACCCCCAUCACAGCCCAGGUCAUGUCCUCCGUGCCUCCUUGUGCCAGUCCACCUGCCCCGAUGCUGCCACCCACAGUGCUGCCACCUCCGGCCCAGAGCCACAUACAGAUGCGGGAAGAACACGAGAGGAGAGAGAGGGAAUACAGGGAUGAUGAUGAUGAUGAUGAGAUGGAUGAGGAGGAGGAAGAGAGUCGAAGAAAGGGUACGGUUAAAGAGUUCGAGCUGACAGUGAUUUUGACCAAGUCCAGGAGUGGAAGCUUUGGGUUCACGAUCACUCGAAGCAAGCUGGACAACUGCUACUACAUACAGGAAAUACUGGACAACCCAGCCAAGGCAGAUGGACGACUCAGGGCGGGAGACCGGCUCAUCACAGUACGCACACAUAUGUACACACACAUGAUGUCCAUACCUUUAAAUUUUGUAAACAUAAUCUUGUUAAGAGGGUUUUUCCUUCUCUGUCAUCUGUUUCCAGGUAAACGGACACGAUGUGACCAGUGUGGCAGAUGAUGUUGCCAUGACCAUUCUCAGGUCAUCUCCGAGAAGACUGAGUAUGACCCUGGGGAGGGCAGUUAGCAACCUGGUGGCCCCGCCUUCCUGUGACAGCCUUCCUGAUGUAGUUCUCCACAAGACACCUUCAGGACAGCUGGGUGGGGGACUCUUUACAUUGUCACACAUAUUGAAGACAUCAGCAGUAUUAUUUGAUUGUUUUUACUCUAUGAGUGUUUCCUCCUCAGGUAUAAAGCUUACAGGAGGCAUCGGAAGCAAGUGGCAGGGCAUCUAUUGUCUGGAGGUGGUGCCAGGCUCCCCGGCGAGCGAGGAGGGCAGUGUCCAACCCAGUGACAAGAUCCUGUACAUCUGCGGCAGGUGCACACUAGGGAUGACCCUGGAGGAUGCGGUCAAAGCCUGUGAGAUCGCCCCUCGUAAAGUCAAACUGAAAAUCCUCAGGUAUGUGCCCUUAAAGGCUGAGAUAGACACUGACAUGUGUUUGUCUCUUUGAAUGACUCUACUGUUUGUGUCCCUCACAGAGAAGACCACCCGGUGAACCCCAGGGCGAAGUGGAAUGGUAAGGAUUUAUGGGACACUUUCUUCUGCUUGAGUGGACACAAAAACAUACAGAUAGUUUGGUUGUUACAUGCACUGAUGGAUUGCCUAGAAACCAGAUAUGUUUG
rnacentral:lncRNA from 1 species